rnacentral:rRNA from 1 species
AUUGAACGCUGGCGGCAGGCCUAACACAUGCAAGUCGAACGAGUGGCGGACGGGUGAGUAAUGUCUGGGAAACUGCCCGAUGGAGGGGGAUAAAUACUGGAAACGGUAGCUAAUACCGCAUACCAUCGGAUGUGCCCAGAUGGGAUUAGCUAGUAGGUGGGGUAACGGCUGACCUAGGCGACGAUCCCUAGCUGGUCUGAAAGGAUGACCAGCCCCACUGGAACUGAGACACGGUCCAGACUCCUACGGGAGGCAGCAGUGGGGAAUCAUGCACAGUGGGCGCAAGCCUGAUACAGCCAUGCCGCGUGUAUGAAGAAGGCCUUCGGGUUGUAAAGUACGUUCAGCGAGGAGGCGUUACUCGCAGAAGAAGCACCGGCUAACUCCGUGCCAGCAGCCGCGGUAAUUC